rnacentral:lncRNA from 1 species
GCCAAGCUGACACUUAGCGAGCAAGUACGGACCUCUCCUCGCAGGCUCCGGUGGGAAAGGCUCCUGGAAGGGCGCGAGCCAGGAAAGUAGAUGAAGUGAAGAGAUGAAGACUGCGUGGGGUAGUUGUUGGAAAAGCUCGGAUCAUCCCCAACCCAGCCCCGUCUUGUCCGGCCCCAAAAGGCCCAUCUCGGCCGAGCUACUCACACUUUGUACGGCAGCCGUGGGUCCGACGUCAGCGUGAUCUUAAAGGAAACCUUCGACCUGAGGAAAAGAGCGGGAGAGAGUCAGGGUCGGGCAGCUGGACCAGGAAUUAUGGCAGUCGAUUGAUGUCAGAGUGGGAUUCAAAGUAGAACUUCAGUGACUCCAAGGAGCACCAAGUCACCAAAAGGCCAAAAGAUAAAAACAAGCAAGAAAGCAAACAAAUAAAAGUAACAACAAAAUUUAAGAACCCCUUGCAUGGAAGGAUGCUUAUUUCCUCUGGACUGAAAGAUGGCAUCAGAAGUGGGAUCUAAAGUAAAGCUUCUAACAAUCCCCAUGAGCACUGAGUGACCAAGCAAGGUACACGCCAGGCCUGUUCUGUCUGUUGCUCUCACAGAGGAGCUGGGGAUCGUGGAGGUUCAUGACAGGAUGAAAAGAAACCUGAGAAGCACUCUUGAAGAGAGGUUUCUGAAUAACUUUCGAAUCAUAUCAUUUGGACUGGAUGACAGAAACUUCAUCUGCAUUGGCUUCGGCAAAGCAGAAAUUUAUUAGCUUACAAGGCCCCAUCUUGUCCAUGCACCUGUCUGCUUCCUUGGCUUCAGAGCAUUGCCUCCAAGUCCUCUACAGCACAACUUUCCCUUCAGCAUCCAACCUUAUGAUGUACUGGGAUAUUGUGUUGCCCCUCUCCCCUCUCUACCUGUGCUGGGCUUUAAGGCUGACACACCUAUAAACCCCAGGAGUGGAGGGAAGGGAGAGUGGAUUGUCAUUGAGACAUAUGUUCUGCUUACGUGGAGAGUAACUUGAGCAACGUUACCCACCUCUAUGUGGAAACACAGGUUUAUUUAGUAUGUUGAAAUUCCAGACAUAACUAUCUGUUCAGUAGCAGUGGUUCCUAUAAGACAACAACUUCACUGUUCAUUUUGUGCUAGUAGAAUGGAACUUCACGGACCUUGGAGAAGCAUACUCCAAACACUACAAAUGAUGGUUAUACUUUGGAGAGAUGCUAAGACAGCAGAUGCUAAAAUCCAGAUACCUUUUGUGAAUAUGAGGCAUAUCUACUGGGAACACAUCAUAAUAAUCUGUUGAGGUAAACAUUAAAGAUGGUGGCAAUAAGCAGUUGGAGAAAAAGAAAAAUAUCAACAUGCAAGGCA